GUGCCAGCAGCCGCGGUAAUACGUAGAGUGCGAGCGUUGUCCGGAAUUACUGGGCGUAAAGGGCUCGUAGGUGGUUUGUCGCGUCGUCUGUGAAAUUCCGGGGCUUAACUCCGGGCGUGCAGGCGAUACGGGCAUAACUUGAGUACUGUAGGGGUAACUGGAAUUCCUGGUGUAGCGGUGAAAUGCGCAGAUAUCAGGAGGAACACCGAUGGCGAAGGCAGGUCUCUGGGCAGUAACUGACGCUGAGGAGCGAAAGCAUGGGUAGCGAACAGGAUUAGAUACCCUGGUAGUCCAUGCCGUAAACGGUGGGCGCUAGGUGUGAGUCCCUUCCACGGGGUUCGUGCCGUAGCUAACGCAUUAAGCGCCCCGCCUGGGGAGUACGGCCGCAAGGCUAAAACUCAAAGGAAUUGACGGGGGCCCGCACAAGCGGCGGAGCAUGUGGAUUAAUUCGAUGCAACGCGAAGAACCUUACCUGGGCUUGACAUACACCAGAUCGCCGUAGAGAUACGGUUUCCCUUUGUGGUUGGUGUACAGGUGGUGCAUGGUUGUCGUCAGCUCGUGUCGUGAGAUGUUGGGUUAAGUCCCGCAACGAGCGCAACCCUUGUCUUAUGUUGCCAGCAUUUGGUUGGGGACUCAUGAGAGACUGCCGGGGUCAACUCGGAGGAAGGUAGGGAUGACGUCAAAUCAUCAUGCCCCUUAUGUCCAGGGCUUCACACAUGCUACAAUGGUCGGUACAACGCGCAGCGACACUGUGAGGUGGAGCGAAUCGCUGAAAGCCGGCCUUAGUUCGGAUUGGGGUCUGCAACUCGACCCCAUGAAGUCGGAGUCGCUAGUAAUCGCAGAUCAGCAAUGCUGCGGUGAAUACGUUCCCGGGCCUUGUACACACCGCCCGUCACGUCAUGAAAGUUGGUAACACCCGAAGCCGGUGGCCCAAACUUGUUAGGGAGCCGUCGAAGGUGGGAUCGGCGAUUGGGACGAAGUCGUAACAAGGUA
rnacentral:rRNA from 1 species